rnacentral:rRNA from 1 species
CGCAAUGGCGCUGCUAUACAUGCAGUCGAGCGAACGGACGAGAAGCUUGCUUCUCUGAUGUUAGCGGCGGACGGGUGAGUAACACGUGGAUAACCUACCUAUAAGACUGGGAUAACUUCGGGAAACCGGAGCUAAUACCGGAUAAUAUUUUGAACCGCAUGGUUCAAAAGUGAAAGACGGUCUUGCUGUCACUUAUAGAUGGAUCCGCGCUGCAUUAGCUAGUUGGUAAGGUAACGGCUUACCAAGGCAACGAUGCAUAGCCGACCUGAGAGGGUGAUCGGCCACACUGGAACUGAGACACGGUCCAGACUCCUACGGGAGGCAGCAGUAGGGAAUCUUCCGCAAUGGGCGAAAGCCUGACGGAGCAACGCCGCGUGAGUGAUGAAGGUCUUCGGAUCGUAAAACUCUGUUAUUAGGGAAGAACAUAUGUGUAAGUAACUGUGCACAUCUUGACGGUACCUAAUCAGAAAGCCACGGCUAACUACGUGCCAGCAGCCGCGGUAAUACGUAGGUGGCAAGCGUUAUCCGGAAUUAUUGGGCGUAAAGCGCGCGUAGGCGGUUUUUUAAGUCUGAUGUGAAAGCCCACGGCUCAACCGUGGAGGGUCAUUGGAAACUGGAAAACUUGAGUGCAGAAGAGGAAAGUGGAAUUCCAUGUGUAGCGGUGAAAUGCGCAGAGAUAUGGAGGAACACCAGUGGCGAAGGCGACUUUCUGGUCUGUAACUGACGCUGAUGUGCGAAAGCGUGGGGAUCAAACAGGAUUAGAUACCCUGGUAGUCCACGCCGUAAACGAUGAGUGCUAAGUGUUAGGGGGUUUCCGCCCCUUAGUGCUGCAGCUAACGCAUUAAGCACUCCGCCUGGGGAGUACGACCGCAAGGUUGAAACUCAAAGGAAUUGACGGGGACCCGCACAAGCGGUGGAGCAUGUGGUUUAAUUCGAAGCAACGCGAAGAACCUUACCAAAUCUUGACAUCCUUUGACAACUCUAGAGAUAGAGCCUUCCCCUUCGGGGGACAAAGUGACAGGUGGUGCAUGGUUGUCGUCAGCUCGUGUCGUGAGAUGUUGGGUUAAGUCCCGCAACGAGCGCAACCCUUAAGCUUAGUUGCCAUCAUUAAGUUGGGCACUCUAAGUUGACUGCCGGUGACAAACCGGAGGAAGGGGGGGAUAAGUCAAAUCUCCUGCCCCUAUGAUUUGGGCUACCCCGGGCUCAAGGGAAAUA